rnacentral:rRNA from 1 species
GAUGAACGCUAGCGGCGUGCCUAAUACAUGCAAGUCGAGCGAACAGACGAGGAGCUUGCUCCUCUGACGUUAGCGGCGGACGGGUGAGUAACACGUGGAUAACCUACCUAUAAGACUGGGAUAACUUCGGGAAACCGGAGCUAAUACCGGAUAAUAUAUUGAACCGCAUGGUUCAAUAGUGAAAGACGGUUUUGCUGUCACUUAUAGAUGGAUCCGCGCCGCAUUAGCUAGUUGGUAAGGUAACGGCUUACCAAGGCAACGAUGCGUAGCCGACCUGAGAGGGUGAUCGGCCACACUGGAACUGAGACACGGUCCAGACUCCUACGGGAGGCAGCAGUAGGGAAUCUUCCGCAAUGGGCGAAAGCCUGACGGAGCAACGCCGCGUGAGUGAUGAAGGUCUUCGGAUCGUAAAACUCUGUUAUUAGGGAAGAACAAAUGUAUAAGUAACUAUGCACGUCUUGACGGUACCUAAUCAGAAAGCCACGGCUAACUACGUG